rnacentral:tRNA from 1 species
CCGGUCAAAAUAGGGCAGCACCGGCGAAAAGCGGGUAAAGCUGGCAAACAGGUUGAAAAACCGGUCAUCGGGGCCAAAAACCACGCU